rnacentral:rRNA from 1 species
CCUACGGGUGGCAGCAGUGAGGAAUAUUGGUCAAUGGGCGUAAGCCUGAACCAGCCAAGUCGCGUGAGGGAUGAAGGUUCUAUGGAUCGUAAACCUCUUUUAUCAGGGAAUAAAGUGCGGGACGUGUCCCCGUAUGUAUGUACCUGAUGAAAAAGGAUCGGCUAACUCCGUGCCAGCAGCCGCGGUAAUACGGAGGAUCCGAGCGUUAUCCGGAUUUAUUGGGUUUAAAGGGUGCGUAGGCGGUCUUGUAAGUCAGCGGUGAAAGUCCGUGGCUCAACCCUGGAACUGCCGUUGAAACUGGGAGGCUUGAGUGUGUGUGAGGCAGGCGGAAUGCGUGGUGUAGCGGUGAAAUGCUUAGAUAGCGCGCAGAACCCCGAUUGCGAAGGCAGCCUGCCGGGCCAUAACUGACGCUGAGGCACGAAAGCGUGGGUAUCAAACAGGAUUAGAUACCCGUGUAGUC